GACGAACGCUGGCGGCGUGCUUAACACAUGCAAGUCGAACGGAACGGUGCUGCUUUUUUGGCAUGCUCUAGUGGCGACAGGGUUAGUCAAACGUGAGUAACCUGCCCUUGACUUUUGGUUAACUUCAGGGAACUGGAGCUUAUACCGGAUGAGCGCUCCUCCUGCAUUGAGGGGGUUGGAAAGUUUCGGCGGUUGGGGAUGUACUCGCGGCUUAUCGGCUUGUUGGUGGGGUAGUGGCUUAUCAAGGCUUUGACGGGUAGCCGGCCUGAGAGGGUGACCGGCCACAUUGGGACGGAGGUACGGCCGAGACUCCUACGGGAGGCAGCAGUGGGGAAUAUUGCACAAUGGGCGGAAGCCUGAUGCAGCAACGCCGCGUGCGGGAUGACGGCCUUCGGGUUGUAAACCGCUUUCGCCUGUGACGAAGCGUGAGUGACGGUAAUGGGUAAAGAAGCACCGGCUAAGUACGUG
rnacentral:rRNA from 1 species